CUUGUUAUUGUUAUGCAUUUAAUUAUACACUUUUUAAUACUCAAGUCAAAUCUUUAAUAAACAUUUUUCGUAGGCAGUUUUAGUUACAAUAUUGAUAAUAAAUCAUGUCAUAAUGUGCACAGAAAUUACUGUGCGAAUUUAUAAAUGUGACUGAUUUCUAGCAACUUGAGUAAGAUAAAAGUAAAAUCACAAGAAUACUGAACUCAGAGGAGAAUCCAAUGGGAAAGCCCAUAAUCACAUGGCAAAAUCAAAUGACAAAACACAUCAAAAACGAAUGGACAACAUCUGUCAUAUUCCUGACUUGAUACAGGCCAGGUUUAAUUCUCAAAUGUAGAAAAUGGUGGAUUAAACCUGGUUUUAAAGUGCUAAACCUCUCACUUUGAUGACAGUCUCAUCAAAUUCCGAUAUAGUUUACAAUGAAAUGCAAGACUAAUAAAUUAAUGCUAAAAUUUUAAAAUUUUGAUUAAGAAGUAGAAACAUUUUUAUUUAGAGGCAAGCUGAGGCCCAAUCCCCCUGAGUGCAGAUUUUUUUCUCUCCGUUGAAGACCCAAUGGAAGCUUCAACUGUUAUCUGCUCUUUGGUUGGGUUGUUUUCUCAUUGGCAUAUUCUCCAUUUCAACCUUCAAAAUUAUUACAGAAUAAAAUACCUGUAUUCUUAUCUUAAUUUGAUCAGAAUUUUUUUUGUAAGAUAACAGCCAUUUUUAAAGGUAAAAUUUAGUUUAUUGUAUCAGAAAAGUUUUCAACUAUAUAUGGUUGCUGCCACUUUGUUAUGAAACAAACAGAUUCUAGUUAACUUUGGUACACUAGGAUUUACAUUUUUUAAGCAUUACUUCUCAGUAUGAUGGUUUCAUGGGUAUGAAGUACAUUUUGGGGAACCAUUGAUCUUCAAAGAAUUUUAAAUUUGUGCCAAAGCAAUUAAAGUAUGUUAUCUUUUUUUCCCUUUCUAAAAAAAAAGAAAGUUGAAGAAGUUGUUAUUUUAUGUGUAUGAUGUAUGCUGAUAUUUGAAUGGAGAUAUUUUUCAUUGCUUGAGUUAUAUACUGGUACUUAAUUUUAAGAGAUUGAUCAAUUGUUUUGUUUUUGUGUUUCUUUGUUUAGUGGCAUGUCACCAUUUGUAUACUUUUGCUUGAAAUAGAUAUUUUUAUAUACAUGUGUAUAUGUGAGAAUAUUUUUUGGGGAAAUGUUUCAGUUCCUUGCAUUUUUUUUUCAAAGAUCUUUUUCAAGAAACAAAUACUUUGAGGGUCUGAGCCUAACUUUAUUUGUGCAACCUAGUUGGAAGUCUCUUGCAGUUUUAGAGAUUUUUUAUUAAUUGCAGAAAAUAAUUAUAUUUACUUGAUGGUCUCCCAAAAAAUAGAAAUGGAGUUACCCUAAUACAACUGUUUUGUAAUAGUCCUCAUGCAAUAAAAAGGGCUAUCCAAUCAGGGAUAUAUGUAAUUUUGUUCAGAUACUAGUACUAUAAAUAUGAUAUUUAUGUUAAAUACCUGUUUAUAAAUGCAGUGAUUGUUGGCUUUCUUGAAUAAUAACUUUUUUGAUUUUUUUAUUGAGUCAAUGUAAAUGGCAUUUACUGUGAAACUUUUGGUUUUAGAUUUUUCCUUGGAGUUUGAUAUUCUUGUUAUUUUACUCUUUGCUCAACUUACUAGA
rnacentral:lncRNA from 1 species